UGGGGAAUCUUGGACAAUGGGGGCAACCCUGAUCCAGCCAUGCCGCGUGAGUGAUGAAGGCCUUAGGGUCGUAAAGCUCUUUCGCCUGUGAAGAUAAUGACGGUAGCAGGUAAAGAAACCCCGGCUAACUCCGUGCCAGCAGCCGCGGUAAUACGGAGGGGGUUAGCGUUGUUCGGAAUUACUGGGCGUAAAGCGCACGUAGGCGGACCAGAAAGUUGGGGGUGAAAUCCCGGGGGCUCAACCCCGGAACUGCCUCCAAAACUAUUGGUCUAGAGUUCGAGAGAGGUGAGUGGAAUUCCAAGUGUAGAGGUGAAAUUCGUAGAUAUUUGGAGGAACACCAGUGGCGAAGGCGGCUCACUGGCUCGAUACUGACGCUGAGGGUGCGAAAGUGUGGGGAGCAAACAGGAUUAGAUACCCUGGUAGUCCACACCGUAAAACGAUGAAUGCCAGUCGUCGGGUAGCAUGCUAUUCGGUGACACACCUAACGGAUUAAGCAUUCCGCCUGGGGAGUACGGUCGCAAGAUUAAAA
rnacentral:rRNA from 1 species